UAUUCCUCCUAUUCCGCUCCAGCCAUUACCACAAUCACAUUCUCCCCAAUUAAGGUGCCACCAAGUCCCUGUGGUGUAUGGUAUCUGAUUAGGCAUGUGUGGAUCUGCUCUUAUGGGUGUUGUUCUACUGUUAUUGGUAGAGCUACCACAUAUCGCCCACUCGUAGCUAUGAUGUGGGCGUGCCACAAGGGUCAAUACUGGGGCCCCUCCUGUUCAGCCUGUACAUUAAUGAUCUGCCUUCUGUCUGUACUGGGUCUGAAGUUCAAAUGUAUGCAGAUGAUACAGUGAUAUAUGUGCAUGCAAAGAGCAAACAACAAGCUGAACAAGAACUCACUACUGUAAUGGUCCAGGUUACAAAGUGGCUCAGUGACUCGUGUUUGCAUCUCAAUGUGAAAAAAACUGUUUGUAUGUUCUUCACAAAGAGGGCAACAGAUGCUACUGAGCCAGAUGUCUAUGUGUCAGGGGAGAAGCUCCAGGUGGUAUCCGAUUUUAAGUACCUUGGCAUCAUACUUGAUUCCAACCUCUCUUUUAAAAAGCAUGUGAAAAAGGUAAUUCAAAUAACCAAAUUCAACCUAGCUAAUUUCCGAUUUAUACGAAAUUGUUUGACUACAGAGGUAGCAAAACUGUACUUCAAAUCUAUGAUACUCCCCCACUUAACAUACUGCUUGACUAGUUGGGACCAAGCUUGCUGUACAACAUUAAAACCUAUUCAGUCUGUCUACAAACAGGCUCUCAAAGUGCUUGAUAGGAAGCCCAAUAGCCAUCAUCAUUGUCACAUCCUUAGAAAGCAUGAGCUCUUGAGUUGGGAAAAUCUUGUGCAAUACACCGACGCAUGUCUUGUAUUCAAGAUCCUUAAUGGCCUGGCUCCCCCUCCACUCAAUAUUUUUGUUAAACAGAAAACCCAGACAUAUGGCAGCAGAUCCAUAAGGUCUGCCAUGAGAGGUGACUGUAUAGUUCCCCUAAGGAAAAGCACCUUUAGUAAAUCUGCAUUCUCUGUGAGAGCUUCCCAUGUCUGGAAUACACUGCCAUCAGACACACAUAACUGCACCACAUAUCACACUUUCACAAAAUGCUUGAAGACAUGGCUAAAGGUCAAUCAGAUUUGCGAACAUGGUCCCUAG
ensembl:lncRNA